AACGGUCUAUACCUGCGGUACCUGCGGAAGGAUCAUUACCGAGUUUACAACUCCCAAACCCAAUGUGAACGUUACCAAACUGUUGCCUCGGCGGGAUCUCUGCCCCGGGUGCGUCGCAGCCCCGGACCAAGGCGCCCGCCGGAGGACCAACCAAAAACUCUUUUGUAUACCCCCUCGCGGGUUUUUUAUAUCUGAGCCAUCUCGGCGCCUCUCGUAGGCGUUUCGAAAAUGAAUCAAAAC
rnacentral:misc_RNA from 1 species